rnacentral:rRNA from 1 species
GACGAACGCUGGCGGCGUGCUUAACACAUGCAAGUCGAACGAAGUGGCGAACGGGUGAGUAACGCGUAAUCAACCUGCCCUUCAGAGGGUGACAACAGUUGGAAACGACUGCUAAUACCGCAUACUGAAGACGGGGAUUGCGUCUGAUUCGAUAGUUGGAGGGGUAACGGCCCACCAAGGCGAUGAUCAGUAGCCGGUCUGAGAGGGGGGCAGGCCAGAUUGGGACUGAGAUACGGCCCAGACUCCUACGGGAGGCAGCAGUGGGGGAUAUUGCACAAUGGGCGAGAGCCUGAUGCAGCGACGCCGCGGGAGGUAUGAAGGCUUUCGGGUUGUAAACCUCUUUCGGUACAGAACGGGUAUGUGCAGAAGAAGCGCCGGCUAACUACGUGCCAGCAGCCGCGGUAAUAC